CGAGGUAGAUAGGUUGGAGGUGUAAGCACGGCAACGUGUUCAGCUGACCAAUACUAAUAGACCGAGGGCUUGACCAAUAA
rnacentral:rRNA from 1 species